AUAUAUAUAUGUAUAUACACACACACACACGUGUGUGUGUGUGUGUAUAUAUAUAUAUAUAU
rnacentral:miRNA from 1 species